ACUACGGGAGGCAGCAGUGGGGAAUAUUGGGCAAUGGGCGCAAGCCUGACCCAGCAACGCCGCGUGAAGGAAGAAGGCUUUCGGGUUGUAAACUUCUUUUCUCAGGGACGAAGAAAGUGACGGUACCUGAGGAAUAAGCCACGGCUAACUACGUGCCAGCAGCCGCGGUAAUACGUAGGUGGCAAGCGUUAUCCGGAUUUAUUGGGUGUAAAGGGCGUGUAGGCGGGAGCGCAAGUCAGAUGUGAAAACUCAGGGCUCAACCCUGAGCCUGCAUUUGAAACUGUGUUUCGUGAGUGCUGGAGAGGCAAUCGGAAUUCCGGGUGUAGCGGUGAAAUGCGUAGAUAUACGGAGGAACACCAGUGGCGAAGGCGGAUUGCUGGACAGUAACUGACGCUGAGGCGCGAAAGCGUGGGGAGCAAACAGGAUUAGAUACCCCGGUAGUC
rnacentral:rRNA from 1 species